rnacentral:misc_RNA from 1 species
GAUGAAGAACGUAGCAAAAUGCGAUAAGUAAUGUGAAUUGCAGAAUUCAGUGAAUCAUCGAAUCUUUGAACGCACAUCGCGCCCGCUGGUAUUCCGGCGGGCAUGCCUGUUCGAGCGUCAUUUCAACCCUCAAGCCCCCGGGUUUGGUGUUGGGGAUCGGCUCUGCCCUUCUGGGCGGUGCCGCCCCCGAAAUACAUUGGCGGUCUCGCUGCAGCCUCCAUUGCGUAGUAGCUAACACCUCGCAACUGGAACGCGGCGCGGCCAUGCCGUAAAACCCCAACUUCUGAAUGUUGACCUCGGAUCAGGUAGGAAUACCCGCUGAACUUAAGCAUAUCAAUAAGCGGAGGA